rfam:Myotis lucifugus cont2.10646, whole genome shotgun sequence.
UUUACUUCUCUAAUUGUAGGACUUCCAUUCAGCCAGCUUUCAGGCAGUUCUGAAUGAUGGUUGUUUUGUAUUUUAGUUGUAAU